rnacentral:rRNA from 1 species
UACGAAGGGGGCUAGCGUUGCUCGGAAUCACUGGGCGUAAAGGGUGCGUAGGCGGGUUUUUAAGUCAGGGGUGAAAUCCUGGAGCUCAACUCCAGAACUGCCUUUGAUGACUGAGAAUCUUGAGUUCGGGAGAGGUGAGUGGAACUGCGAGUGUAGAGGUGAAAUUCGUAGAUAUUCGCAAGAACACCAGUGGCGAAGGCGGCUCACUGGCCCGAUACUGACGCUGAGGCACGAAAGCGUGGGGAGCAAACAGGG